rnacentral:tRNA from 1 species
GGGGUUGUAGUUAAGAAAUAACGUUUAAUUUGCAAUUAAAAAACACUAAAAUUUAAUAUAGUCCUCCUCA